UGGGGAAUAUUGCACAAUGGGCGCAAGCCUGAUGCAGCCAUGCCGCGUGUGUGAAGAAGGCCUUCGGGUUGUAAAGCACUUUCAGCGAGGAGGAAGGUGGUGAGCUUAAUACGCUCAUCAAUUGACGUUACUCGCAGAAGAAGCACCGGCUAACUCCGUGCCAGCAGCCGCGGUAAUACGGAGGGUGCAAGCGUUAAUCGGAAUUACUGGGCGUAAAGCGCACGCAGGCGGUUUGUUAAGUCAGAUGUGAAAAUCCCCGGGCUCAACCUGGGAACUGCAUUUGAAACUGGCAAGCUAGAGUCUCGUAGAGGGGGGUAGAAUUCCAGGUGUAGCGGUGAAAUGCGUAGAGAUCUGGAGGAAUACCGGUGGCGAAGGCGGCCCCCUGGACGAAGACUGACGCUCAGGUGCGAAAGCGUGGGGAGCAAAACAGGAUUAGAUACCCUGGUAGUCCACGCUGUAAACGAUGUCGAUUUUGGAGGUUGUGCCCUUGAGGCGU
rnacentral:rRNA from 1 species